rnacentral:rRNA from 1 species
UAGGGAAUCUUCCGCAAUGGGCGAAAGCCUGACGGAGCAACGCCGCGUGAGUGAUGAAGGUCUUCGGAUCGUAAAACUCUGUUAUUAGGGAAGAACAAAUGUGUAAGUAACUAUGCACGUCUUGACGGUACCUAAUCAGAAAGCCACGGCUAACUACGUGCCAGCAGCCGCGGUAAUACGUAGGUGGCAAGCGUUAUCCGGAAUUAUUGGGCGUAAAGCGCGCGUAGGCGGUUUUUUAAGUCUGAUGUGAAAGCCCACGGCUCAACCGUGGAGGGUCAUUGGAAACUGGAAAACUUGAGUGCAGAAGAGGAAAGUGGAAUUCCAUGUGUAGCGGUGAAAUGCGCAGAGAUAUGGAGGAACACCAGUGGCGAAUGUGACUUUCUGGUCUGUAACUGACGCUGAUGUGCGAAAGCGUGGGGAUCAAACAGG